GCAGACGUAGUUUAUCGAAAACGUUGGAUUGUGAUUCCAAAGAGAGGGGUUAAACCCCCCUCGCCCGCC
rnacentral:tRNA from 1 species